GAGGUAUUUUGACUGUGCUAAGGUAGCGAAGUCAUUUGUUUCUUUAUUGGGAACUUGUAUGAGUGGAGUAAUAGGCGCUUUUAUGAAUUGAGCUUAAAGUGAAUUUGAUUUUUCUAAGAAAAGUUAGAAGUUUUCCUAAAGACGAGAAGACCCCAAAAUCUUUAUUUUAAUUUAUAGGAUUUAAUUUUUAUUUGGGGGAAAGGUUAAUUUUUAUUUAUUGUUUUAUUAUUGUGAACUUUUUUAGGGUGUAUGGAUAGAUACUUUGGGGGUAACAGGAUUAUUUUCUUUUGAAGUUCUUAUUUUAGGGAAAGUUUAUUACCUCGAUGUUGGCUUUUGA
rnacentral:rRNA from 1 species